rnacentral:rRNA from 1 species
CUCAGAGUGAACGCUGGCGGCAGGCCUAACACAUGCAAGUCGAACGGCAGCACAGCAGUAGCAAUACUGUGGGUGGCGAGUGGCGGACGGGUGAGGAAUACAUGGGAAUCUGCCCUGUCGUGGGGGAUAACGUAGGGAAACUUACGCUAAUACCGCAUACGACCGGAAGGUGAAAGCGGCGGACCGCAAGGCGUCGCGCGACUGGAUGAGCCCAUGUCGGAUUAGCUAGUUGGCGGGGUAAAGGCCCACCAAGGCGACGAUCCGUAGCUGGUCUGAGAGGAUGAUCAGCCACACUGGAACUGAGACACGGUCCAGACUCCUACGGGAGGCAGCAGUGGGGAAUAUUGGACAAUGGGCGCAAGCCUGAUCCAGCCAUGCCGCGUGAGUGAAGAAGGCCUUCGGGUUGUAAAGCUCUUUUGUCCGGAAAGAAAAGCUGCCGGUUAAUACCCGGUGGUU